rnacentral:rRNA from 1 species
AUGGCGAGCGGCGGCGGUUUGAUGACGAAGAAGGAGCUCGGCGAGACCCACGACGUCCUCCGCUUUGGCGUCAACAACAGCGUCCAUGGCGACCUCGCGCUAGCGCACCCCGUCCAGGCCACCAUCAAGGAGGCCAAGUUCUGGGAUAAGAAGAAGAAGUUUGGGACCGAGGCCAUCUACGGAUCGACCUUCAACAUCCGCAGGGAUCUCGACACCCAGAUCCUCUCCAGGUUAUGCGCUCAUGGAGGAGAACCUGCUGUUCCUGGGGGCCUGGAAAGCAGUUGA